UGACCCUGAAGAGCAUAUUUCUCUUGAGACUUACAAUACUAUUAUAAUAGAGGAUAUUUUUCAAUCUCAGAUUGAGUUGUUUGGUAGUAAUGAUAAUCAAUCUUACCUGAACAUUAUUCACGUAAACAUAAGAAGUUUGCGAAAGAAUUUUGAUGAGCUGUCAUACAUUAUCAGUAAUUGUUUAUUAGAGUUUCAUAUUAUUAUCCUCAGUGAGACUUGGUUAGUUGAAGAGGAUGAUUUUGAUUUUAAUUUGAAUGGUUAUUCAGUGGUUAACAAUCCAUGUAAAACAAAUAAAUGUGAUGGAAUUUGUGUCUUUUUCAAAUGUAAUUUUAUAGUAGAUGAGUUGGAUUACGAAAUAAGAGAAUCUAACUCAAUUCUUUUGAAUGUACAAGUGCCAGGUGCGAAGGAUAAGAUAACACUUAUCGCUGUUUAUAGGUCUCCUUCAACCAAUGUAGAUAAUUUUCUCAAUUGUUUGAAUGAUUGUUUGUAUUCUAUCAAAAAUAAGCCCAAUAUAAUUUUUUCUGGUGACUUGAAUAUACAUCUGAAUAAGUCUACGCUUGCGACUAAUGAAUAUUUUGGAAUUUUAUCCUUGAAUGGUUUAAAAUCAUACAUAAACAAGCCUACUAGAGUUCAAAACGGCACUGAAUCGAUUAUCGAUCACAUAUUUUUAAAGAAUUCCUCUUUCAAUCCCGACAAUGUAUUAAGUUCAGUAAUAAAAACAAACAUCACUGAUCACUUUUGUGUCAGCAUCCACUUUGAUCUUUCAACUGACAAAAUUGAUAGGAUAUGUUGAAGUCCCAGCGAAUGAUAGUCUUGAAAUUGACACAGAAUUCGAUUUGCAAGUUGCUCGAGCUAUAUCUACAAUCUUCGAAGGUACUUGAUUAGGAUGAAAUGCACUGCUCGCUUACAAGUCAACUAAGUACUAGUCUAAAAGAUAUGAACAGUGUGCAUCAAUGAGAUCCUUUGGCUGUUGUAUUUCUAUUUUACAAAAUCAUUUGUACUGACGAGAAAAUGAUUGAUUUGAAAGAAAUCUCCAAUUCCACAUUUUAUAAAGAUGUAUAUUAUAUCUAUUGAUUAAAUAAGUUUUAUAUUGCGUAAACAAAUCAAUGACUCUUGUGCUUUAUUCAACAUUAUUCAGCUAAGGUAACAUUCAAAAAUUUAUAUUGGAAUGUAACAGCUAUUUUGAAUAGGAAGUUCAAAAAAACAAAGAUCUCAUAGAAAAGUGAAAAACUAGACAACUCAACAGAAUCAGUUAAUUAGUACAAAUAUUUCAAAAAAAAUUGAAUAUAAAAACUAAAAUAAAUACUCUAAUUUCAUAGUAUUUGUUGGAAAUAUCUAAUGUGCUUCCAUAUCACAAAAUAAAUAUUUUUCUUAAACAUACCUUACUUCAACAUAGUUUGGAACUAAAAUGCCUUUUCCUAAGUAUGGUAUUGCACAUAAUAUAGUUUUAUUUUAAUAUUAUCUACAAAAAUGUUCAGAUGAUUAUAGAUCUCGGUUGUAGAUCUAUGAUAGCUGGGAAUAAUCGUCUGAAACUUUGGGCUUUUACAUAAUCUCUAGAAUUUAUGAAAAUUUAAAUUUGUUUGAGAACCAAUCUGGGUUUUUAAAAGACUAGAAUCGUAUUAUUUUAACUAUAAGACUCUUCUACUAAUUUCAUUUAUAAUCGAAAUUCAAUUUUAGUGUCAUAAAAUGAAACUUAGUAAAACUAUUUGGAGAUGAAUUUCUCACAUAUCUUUCAAAUAAUUCUAGCAAGAAUAAUGUUAUUCAAUUUUUUUAAAUGAUAAUACAUCACUCUCACCACCCAGCAUACAAUAUGAAUCGAGUGAAAAGUUUGAAAGAAUUAAAAAUAUCAAGUACUUGAAUUUUUCAAAGCCUUCAAUUCUUUUGAUAUCAUUAUUCAAGUUAAUCGUGUGCUAAUCCUACUAAACACUAACGAUACAGUAUAAUAAAACGUAA
rnacentral:sRNA from 1 species